UUGUGACUCAAUGCUCCAAGGCAUGCUA
rnacentral:piRNA from 1 species